GUGUCAUCUACAGUGUAAAAGUGUUUGUAAAAUUACCGAGUCUUAUCAUCGUUCUCAGUGAUCCGUUUAUAUAUUACUACGUGGAAUUUUUCUAAACGUCGUUAACAUUCAAUUAUUUUAUCGUUCGCCUUUCGUUUUGUUCGAGUUUCCCGAGAAAUAUACCGUUCCGUUUGUAGCCAUUAAUGUCAUCUGGACGACAUUAUCCGACGUUUUGAGUUUUCACCUAACGUUCGAAGUUGAGUCAUUUUUUGAAAUAUGGCUGCUGCCGCUGCUGCUGCUUUACUUGAUGAGCUUAUGGGAAGAAACAGAAAUGUGCUUCCCAAUGAAAAACCGAAGGAACUUAAUUGGGAGGAUCCUGAGUUUUGCAAAUUAUAUUUGGUAAAAUUCUGUCCUCAUGACUUGUUCGUAAAUACGAGAGCUGACCUUGGAGCUUGUUCACGAGUACAUGACGAUGAAGCGAGAGAACUUUUUGAGAAAGCGCCAUACUCGUAUCGUAAACAGCAAUAUGAGGAUGAAUUUAUUAGAUUUUGUCAAAGUAUGUUGAACGAGGUUGAAAGAAAGAUUGUCAAAGGCAAACAACGUCUUGCUCUUAUUGGAAGAACAGAAGCGCCUACUUUAACUCCUGCACAGACUCAAAGAAACGAAGAACAAAUAGCUUUACUCACAGAGAAGAUAAAUAAAUUAGUAGAAGAGGCAGAACAAAGUGGAAUUCAAGGAAAUGUAGAACAAGCUCAAGGCCUAAUGAGACUUUGCGAUCAAUUAAAGGAAGAACGAGAAACCCUUAGAAAGUCUAAUGAUAAUAGUCAUUAUAAUCAAACUGCUGAACUAGCCGCUGCUCAAGAAAAACAAAUGGAAGUAUGCGACGUAUGUGGCGCUUUCCUCAUUGUGGGUGAUGCUCAACAACGAAUUGAUGAUCAUUUGAUGGGUAAACAACAUGUGGGUUAUGCAAGAUUAAAAAGUGCUCUUCAAGAAAUUAUGAAUAAACGUGAAAAAGCAAGGGAUGAAAAAGAACAGAAAAGAGAAGAAGAGAGAAAACAGAGAGCACGUGCUAACGAAGAACUUGAUAGACGAAGAAGAGAAAGUGACAGAGAUCGAGAUCGAGAUAGAGAAAGAGAUAAACGUCGUAGACGUAUAGACGACGACAAGGGUAGACAUGACUCGGGAAGUCAUAGGAAUUCUGGACAUAGAAGUAGAAGCAGAUCUAGAGAGAAGCAUGAUCGACAUCGUGAUGACGAUAAUCAUCGACGUCAUUCUCGUGAUAAAGGAAAUCGGGAUCAUCGAAGUUCCAGUCAUCAUAAUCGUCGUCGCCAUCGAUCUCGAAGUCGAAGUCACAAGUAACUACUCUUGAUUGGUUAGUGAGUGAGAACUAAGCCAGGUAUGCACUAAACAGUUAACGAUAUAUUCGUCUCAUUUACUGUACAGGUUCUUUACCAGGUGAGUUUCAUUAGAUGCACAUAAUAUGUACAUGAUAAUUAUCUGUGAUUUUGAAGAAUCGCAUACAGUCACAACGUACCAGUCUUUGAUCCUGCCUAUUAAUUGGAGAAAUGCUCUUACUAAAUUUCAUAUGGACCUGAUUGUACAGCAUUUUAUUUUCAAUGUGACGAGCUCAUUCUAUGUAACAUAUAGCUUGAAAAAGCUGCAUCGAGGUAAUGUCGAGCAAGGAGUAGUAAAGUCGUUCACAAAAGAAAGGUAUAUUUAUCAUGUAGUACUAUAGAUAUUGUCUACAGAGCAAGAUAGGAGAAGGUAUACCUAUGCUUGCUUUGAUCGGUAUAAUGUCUUCAUAGGUUAAAUACAGUAAAUCAUUGUGUAAUAUCAACGACUGCAUAGCUUUUUUGUCGAAAAGAAAUUAGUGGUUUAGUGGAGGAAACAGUGCCUACUUCCGUAGACCUGCAACGACAGUGCCCUGUGUGACUGUGACUAUACAAACCUAGCUUCUGCUACGCAUUUCUGAGGUAUUUAUAUCGGAAUGAUAAUACCAAACAUGUCCUUUUCUUAGGAAAGUUAGACUUUUUUGAAAUUGAUGAUGUUUAUUUUUGGAGUGAUACUUCAGUGCUAGUGCUUAAAGGAAAUGAUAACAAAGUCCUGCUAUUACUUUCCUUACUUCCUAAUUGCAGUUGAUUGGAGCAUUAUCAACAUGACUUUCAAUGAUAAUUUAUCUGAGAGUUUUUCGUUUAGGGAUAUAUUAAUGAUAUCUAUGAGAACAGAAAUUGGAUAGAUCAAUUGUAGUACUUUCAAACUUCGAACUUAAAUGUUCAGAGUAACUUUCCUGUUAUUUCCAUAGCCAGUGAGUUAAAAAUACGAAAUUGAUUCAAUUGUCAUCAUAAAUAUUAUACCAGUAUUAACUGAUUAUUUAAACAUUCGUUUUCCUCUAUUUGAUAAGGAAUUUCUUACUACUCCCCUUUUUACAAUUUAUGAGAAAUGUGUAUCAUAUGCAAUAUUUUCUUCCCUCCUUGCACGUGUCACUUUAUUUACACUUUUAGUUCUUAAUGGUUAGGGUGCGGGCAAAAUUAUAAUUUUUAUAAAUGGGUGAAAUGAUUAUUCUUUAGCAUUAUCCUACAUCAAUCAAAAGGAUCACAACAGAGGCCAUAUGGAUCAUAAAUUGAGCUGCUCCUAGGACUUCCCUCAUUCAUAUAUAGUCUCAUAUUAUUCAGUUUGCCAUGUCCUUCGUUUCAGCUUUGAUAGAGAAGAUACAUAUUUUAUAUAUGUCUUAUAUUUAUACAACUCAUUAAUGAUAUAAAUGUUUCUUUAUUAUUACAUAAUCUGCUUUUUAAAUAUUUACUUACAGAAAUAUAAAAGUUUACUCUAAUAAAUUUCAACUUCAAUAUUAUCAUUAUGUAUUGCAGCACAGAAACGUUUUUAUGUGUUGCAUAAUUUAAUUAGUAUCCUAUAACACAUAGAGAUAGAAAUAUCGGAUUUUAGAUCUAAAAUAUGAACUAAAUGUCUUUUUAUAAAAUUGAUUUAUUUUAUUUUUUCUACUAUUUUUUGACGAUAAUCAUAAAUCAUAAUGGGAGAAACAUAAAUUUUUAUAAUUUUAAGGCUGCAAUCAGAAUGAUACUUUGAAUUUUAUUAAUUGCUUACUUAUGCAUAUAAUUGAAAUAUAAUAUUAUUUCUGUUUAAGAAUUUAACAUAAUGAGGUUAACAACAGCUACAAUAAGGGAAUUAUGUUAAUCGUUUGAAAAGCGAAGACAGGGCAAUGGGAAUAACCAGUCCGACAGAUCCACGUGCACUCUGCUUUAUGUAUUAUUAAGGUAAAGAUUUUGCAUAAUCUUCACAUUGAAAAGUCAUGAAUUUUAUAUAAAUGUGGAUGAAUUUAUUUAAAGUACUUUACGUCAUUUUAACGAAUCAUUAAUAAUUGCUGAAAAUCGGCCUUUAAAUAAUGCGUGAAUGUUAUUUUAUUGCAAUUUUAUUUACAUCUGAAAGUAAUUGUUACAUUACUAUACAUACCAAUCAAACAAGGUAAAUUGUCCAUAGGUUACGUUGUAAUACUCGUAAUAUUGUUAUUUGAAAUUAAUAAAAUGAACCUGAGAAAGAACAUAAAAAAACAAUCAUAAAAUGCAGAUAAAGAUUAGUUUAAAAAACCAUUAAAUGACUGGUAUUAUCUUGUACACUUGUAUUAUAAAAAUACAUAUUUAACUAGGUAAUCUAUAAAAAUAUAUAAUUUAUUAAAUAAAUACAAAUAUUGAUAAUACAA